AACCACAUGAAACCCUUAAUUAUUACAGACAGUUUAAUUUUUUUACAUAAAACUCUUGUACAUAAUAUAUUAUAUGAAAUUUCAUGGUUCAUAAAUGGUAAGUUUAAAUUUUUCAAAAUUAUAUAAUUGAAAUUUGUUGACACUUUUAAAAUUCAUUUAGGUCCUUACAAUUUUCAUUUCUCCAAUCAUAACCCUGAACUUAAAUGAUCU
rnacentral:lncRNA from 1 species